AUAGUACUCCCUCCGUCUCCAAUUUUUUGUCUUAGCUUUGUCUUGAAAUGGAUGUAUCUAAAUACUAAAAUUUGACUAGAUAUAUACAUUCACGUUUAAACAAAUCUAAGAUAAGAAUUUUAGGACGGAGGGAGUAUCAA
rnacentral:pre_miRNA from 1 species